GGUAGUACAAUCUCAGCCUUAUUCAUUCCCUUCAGAAAAUGAAAACUCAUAGAUAUCUUUAAACUAAUUGGAUACCUUAUAAAGAUUAUAGCAAAUGGGUGUGGUAUUUUUAUGUGGCAACAUAAGAAUUUUAGCCAUCAAACUAGCACUAUUCUACAGUAAUGUUGAAGGUGGAUGAAGUAUAUCGAAUGAGUUUAUGUGAGUUAAAGUAUUGAAUACAUUUACAUAAAUUUGCAUGUAUGUAACACUUUCCCUAAGAAACUCCACAAUGCUAUAUCUGCUCUAUCUUCUGUUUUUAACAUUGUUGCACAGAAUACAAAAAGUGGAAGGCUGAAUAAAAAACAAGCUCCUGUUCAAGUGACCUCACUGCUUUCUGAUGACCCCCACUGGCUAUGCCACAUUUCUGGUGCUGAAUGGAUGCACAACACGUCCGUACUCAUCUGGGCUUCGAUGCAGUUGUUCAAUUUGAAAAGUAAAGCAGUACUUUAAUGGUCCCUUCAGUUCUCACACUCAGUGUUUCAAUAUUUGUCCUGUUCUACCUGGCUUGUAAUCAAUCCUAAAACUUCCUCACAUUUCCAGAUGAUGGAAUGAACAAUCCUGCGUAUGGCUUCCAAACUGAAAACUCAGAACUUAAGGCUCUGGUCUGAAGUGGCCACAGUUCAUCUCUGGCCUUGACAAGCCAUUUGUUGGCCGUGGAACUCAUUACUUGAAAGAGAUUUGCUACAGCUCCCGUUAUGGUGCCUUUAGAAGAAAUAAAGAUCUCCUGCCU
ensembl:lncRNA LINC01924 long intergenic non-protein coding RNA 1924